rnacentral:rRNA from 1 species
UACGUAGGGGGCAAGCGUUGUCCGGAUUUAUUGGGCGUAAAGCGCGUGUAGGCGGCUGGUAGGUCCGCUGUGAAAACUCGAGGCUCAACCUCGAGACGUCGGCGGAAACCAUCCAGCUAGAGUCCGGAAGAGGAGAGUGGAAUUCCUGGUGUAGCGGUGAAAUGCGCAGAUAUCAGGAAGAACACCCGUGGCGAAAGCGGCUCUCUGGGACGGUACUGACGCUGAGACGCGAAAGCGUGGGGAGCGAACAGG